GAUGAACGCUGGCGGCGUGCCUAAUACAUGCAAGUCGAGCGAACGGACGAGAAGCUUGCUUCACUGAUGUUAGCGGCGGACGGGUGAGUAACACGUGGAUAACCUACCUAUAAGACUGGGAUAACUUCGGGAAACCGUAGCUAAUACCGGAUAAUAUUUUGAACCGCAUGGUUCAAAAGUGAAAGACGGUCUUGCUGUCACUUAUAGAUGGAUCCGCGCUGCAUUAGCUAGUUGGUAAGGUAACGGCUUACCAAGGCAACGAUGCAUAGCCGACCUGAGAGGGUGAUCGGCCACACUGGAACUGAGACACGGUCCAGACUCCUACGGGAGGCAGCAGUAGGGAAUCUUCCGCAAUGGGCGAAAGCCUGACGGAGCAACGCCGCGUGAGUGAUGAAGGUCUUCGGAUCGUAAAACUCUGUUAUUAGGGAAGAACAUAUGUGUAAGUAACUGUGCACAUCUUGACGGUACCUAAUCAGAAAGCCACGGCUAACUACGUG
rnacentral:rRNA from 1 species